GGUUCGGUGGCCGAAUAAAUAGCGGCGCUGGUCUUAAACGGCAGAAACGGGGUUCGAAUCCCAUUCGGACUG
rnacentral:tRNA from 1 species